rfam:Ictidomys tridecemlineatus contig062142, whole genome shotgun sequence.
GGGAGUGUAGCUCAGUGGUAGAGCACGUACCUAGCAUGCAUGAGACCUUGGGUUCCAUCCACAGCACCCUCC